CAACUCAGUGUUAGGUAGUGUUUGUUUUUUUCUGCAGAUCUGCGUGGCCUCUUCUAUCUGCGCCGCGCAGACCACGCGCAGACAUUAGCCUUCGCAGACUGUUUGUUUUUCUGAAGACUGCAGACCUAAAAAUGUCUGCGCGCCCUCUUCUUGGCGCAGAUGUGGACCAAAGUCUUCUAACAUCUUCAGACAUCUUCUAGCCUAAAAAAACAUAUAUAUGUUUAUUUUUUUCUGUUUUUUUUUUAAUUUAUAUUUUUUCCAACUUUAUUAAUGAUAAACAAUUUGAAAAAAAAUUACAAAACUUUAAAAAAAAACAUUCGACAAUACAAACAUGAUAUUUUUGACAAAUAUAUAAAUAAAGAUUUAUUACAAUAAUAGUCGUUGAAAUUGUUUAUAUAAAUAUGAAAUAAAAUCAUAAUAUAUUCUUAUAUUUUUUUGCCAAAUUUUAUAAAAUAUUAUUUAAUACAGUAUCGUCAAUUUCUCGAGAAAAUAUUUAUGUUACAUUUUUAAUGGAUUUAAUUGAAAAAAUCGAAGUUUAUUUCUAUCCAUUUAUGUAUCAAAUUCUUUGAUCACUAAUUAUAAUGUUUUUAUCAAAUAUAUACGUUAAUUCAUACGAUUUUUAUUUUUAUUUUGUAUAGAAUAAUACAUAAAAGUUGAACUAGAUUCGUUAAUUAUCUAUAACAAAGUCAUAAAAAUAUUAAAAAAUCCCUUUUAAGUUUUAAAAAAUCAAUUUAUUUAUAUUUCAGUUUAUUUUAGUAGCCCGCAGAUCUUAAAAAAAAAACAGUCUUUUUUUUUUUCAGACUGCAGACGUUUGGUCCACCUCUUCUACUGCAGAGGUCUACAGAUAUGGUCCGCAGACUGCAUACAUUUUGCCUCAGAAAAAACAAACAGCACCUUAGACUCACUCCUACUAACAUUAAGUACAAUUUGGAGUCUGUUUGAGUGUUCUGAGCCCAAUACACUCAAGGAAUAAGUGUUAGGAAGUACCUGCUAGAGCUACUGAACAACAUACAAGCCUUAACCAUCACCACCAUGAGUUCACGGCCACAACACAUAGAGUUUACGACCGUAAACUCUAUGUGGGCCGUAAACUCACAUCUAUAUAUAAAAGUCUUGGCCAUUUCUUCCAUUCUUUCCUUCAUUGGCCGAUUUUCUUCCAUUCUCUC
rnacentral:lncRNA from 1 species